CAGAGAUGCUCGUUAAAACUACUACCCCAACACCACUGUUCUCAGCCCAAAUGAAAUGCUGUCUAGGGUGCUGAGGGAAGUUCCCCGAAGCAUCUUUGGGACUGACAACCUCAGACAAUAUCUAAUCGAGUGUAACCUGCUGCCAGAUAUCUAGCACGGCACCAUGACAUAGGUCUGAAGAGACCCACACCUCCGACUAAACACCAUACUCGUGUCAUCAUAUUACUGGUUGAGAUGAAAAGCAGAAGACGGAUAGAAUCUGCGCCUUGGAAAUAGAAAGGCAUACACCCUAGACCAGAUGGAUCAGGCUACGAGCCUGAAACCAACGAAGAAGCCUGACCCUGCAAAACGAAUAUUUGACCUUCGGCGCGAAAUAGACGACACUGAUCUGAAGCGCUAGAAACCUCUCCCUACUACUACUACUUGUCAUCCAGCAGCAAGAGUCUCAUUAACAAGAUGUUGCGAGACACCUCCCUCAUUCCUGACAAGAUCCUCAGCUUUGAAGUGCAUUUAUGUCUGGUGAACGACGACGUCUACGGCCCCUUCGCUGACACCAUCAAGCAGUGUGGGAGGCCGAGUGGUGAACUGGAUCGAGAGUAAAGCCUCGUUUGGUGACCGUGAGAACCAUAGAUCGUACUUCAACGAACAGCUAUGGAGCUACUGGAAUAGGUUCGGUCCUGGUUUCGUCAUUUACUGGUUUGGUUACAUCGUCGAACUCAAUUACCUGGAGGACAAAGGUACCGGUAUCCUAGUCAGGGAUUGCUUCCCUGACGACAUCGUCACUAUGGACCCGCUGGCCGUCAGGACCUCAGGACUAAACCAUCUCUAAACUGGCUGUCAGUCUACUUUAU
rnacentral:lncRNA from 1 species